rnacentral:rRNA from 1 species
AUUGAACGCUGGCGGCAGGCCUAACACAUGCAAGUCGAGCGGACGAAGGGAGCUUGCGCCUGGCUUCAGCGGCGGACGGGUGAGUAAUGCCUAGGAAUCUGCCUGGUAGUGGGGGAUAACGUCCGGAAACGGGCGCUAAUACCGCAUACGACCAGAGGGAGAAAGGGGUGGAUCUUCGGACCUCACGCUAUCAGAUGAGCCUAGGUCGGAUUAGCUAGUUGGUGGGGUAACGGCCUACCAAGGCGACGAUCCGUAACUGCUCUGAGAGGAUGAUCAGUCACACUGGAACUGAGACACGGUCCAGACUCCUACGGGAGGCAGCAGUGGGGAAUAUUGGACAAUGGGCGAAAGCCUGAUCCAGCCAUGCCGCGUGUGUGAAGAAGGUCUUCGGAUUGUAAAGCUCUUUAAGUUGGGAGGAAGGGCAGUAAGUUAAUACCUUGCUGUCUUGACGUUACCUACAGAAUAAGCCCCGGCUAACUUCGUG